CAGCCGCCGCGGUAAUACGUAGGUGGCAAGCGUUGUCCGGAAUUAUUGGGUGUAAAGGGCUCGCAGGCGGUUUCUUAAGUCUGAUGUGAAAGCCCCCGGCUCAACCGGGGAGGGUCAUUGGAAACUGGGAAACUUGAGUGCAGAAGAGGAGAGUGGAAUUCCACGUGUAGCGGUGAAAUGCGUAGAGAUGUGGAGGAACACCAGUGGCGAAGGCGACUCUCUGGUCUGUAACUGACGCUGAGGAGCGAAAGCGUGGGGAGCGAACAGGAUUAGAUACCCCCGUAGUCCCUGUCUCUUAUAC
rnacentral:rRNA from 1 species